CCAGACUCCUACGGGAGGCAGCAGUGAGGAAUAUUGGUCAAUGGUCGGGAGACUGAACCAGCCAAGCCGCGUGAGGGAUGAAGGUACAGAGUAUCGUAAACCUCUUUUGUCAGGGAACAAAGGCGGGGACGUGUCCCCGGAUGAGUGUACCUGAAGAAAAAGCAUCGGCUAACUCCGUGCCAGCAGCCGCGGUAAUACGGAGGAUGCGAGCGUUAUCCGGAUUUAUUGGGUUUAAAGGGUGCGUAGGCGGACUGUUAAGUCAGGGGUAAAAGCCGGGGGCCCACCCCCGGCGAGCCGUUGAAACUGGCGUUCUUGAGUGGGCGAGAAGUACGCGGAAUGCGUGGUGUAGCGGUGAAAUGCAUAGAUAUCACGCAGAACUCCGAUUGCGAAGGCAGCGUACCGGCGCCCAACUGACGCUGAAGCACGAAGGCGUGGGUAUCGAACAGGAUUAGAUACCCGCGUAU
rnacentral:rRNA from 1 species